UACGUAGGUGGCAAGCGUUGUCCGGAUUUACUGGGCGUAAAGGGCGUGCAGGCGGUCUGUUAAGUGCAGGGUGAAAGCUCCCGGCUCAACUGGGAGAGGUCCUUGCAUACUGGCGGACUUGAGGGGGGUAGAGGAAAGUGGAAUUCCCGGUGUAGUGGUGAUAUGCGUAGAUAUCGGGAGGAACACCUGUGGCGAAGGCGGUUCUCUGGGACGGUACUGACGCUGAGACACGAAAGCGUGGGGAGCGAACAGG
rnacentral:rRNA from 1 species